GGUCAAGCUACAAAGAGCUAACGGUGGAUA
rnacentral:rRNA from 1 species